GCUGGAUGAGAGAUACUGGCUGGAGAAUUAUUUUUGGAGUGGGCUCCUGGGUGCCAGUAAUGUAGCAGAGGAAAACAUGCUUCCUACCCAGGAGAUGGAAGAACAUUCUCCAUAAUAGGAAUCCAAAAGUCAAGUACUGUGCGAGUGGCAUAGGAAGUUACUGGAAACUGGGAAGACACAUCAGGGAGCAAGUUCAAGGUAGACCACGCCAGGCUGGCCCCAGAAGUAAAGAGCUGAAAGGACACCCCAUGGACAUGUUUGGGAGUCCAUGUCUGCACAUCCCUGCUGUAAAAUAAUGUCCGUUUUUUCCUCUGUCUUUGGUGUUUUAAGAAAAAACCCAAACAAACCCACCCAAAUAGAAUGUGGCCUGCUUUCUCUCUCUUCUCAAGA